ACGGGGGCCCGCACAAGCGGUGGAGCAUGUGGUUUAAUUCGAUGCAACGCGAAGAACCUUACCUACUCUUGACAUCCACGGAAUUUGGCAGAGAUGCCUUAGUGCCUUCGGGAACCGUGAGACAGGUGCUGCAUGGCUGUCGUCAGCUCGUGUUGUGAAAUGUUGGGUUAAGUCCCGCAACGAGCGCAACCCUUAUCCUUUGUUGCCAGCGAUUCGGUCGGGAACUCAAAGGAGACUGCCGGUGAUAAACCGGAGGAAGGUGGGGAUGACGUCAAGUCAUCAUGGCCCUUACGAGUAGGGCUACACACGUGCUACAAUGGCGCAUACAAAGAGAAGCGACCUCGCGAGAGCAAGCGGACCUCACAAAGUGCGUCGUAGUCCGGAUCGGAGUCUGCAACUCGACUCCGUGAAGUCGGAAUCGCUAGUAAUCGUGGAUCAGAAUGCCACGGUGAAUACGUUCCCGGGCCUUGUACACUCCUCCCGUCACACC
rnacentral:rRNA from 1 species